rnacentral:rRNA from 1 species
AUUUUGUUGGUUUCUAGGAUCGCCGUAAUGAUUAAUAGGGAUAGUUGGGGGCAUUAGUAUUCAAUUGUCAGAGGUGAAAUUCUUGGAUUUAUUGAAGACUAACNNNUGCGAAAGCAUUUGCCAAGGAUGUUUUCAUUAAUCAAGAACGAAAGUUAGGGGAUCGAAGACGAUCAGAUACCGUCGUAGUCUUAACCAUAAACU